rnacentral:rRNA from 1 species
AGUAAUGUCUGGGAAACUGCCUGAUGGAGGGGGAUAACUGCUGGAAACGGUAGCUAAUACCGCAUAACGUCGCAAGACCAAAGAGGGGGACCUUCGGGCCUCUUGCCAUCAGAUGUGCCCAGAUGGGAUUAGCUAGUAGGUGGGGUAACGGCUCACCUAGGCGACGAUCCCUAGCUGGUCUGAGAGGAUGACCAGCCACACUGGAACUGAGACACGGUCCAG